rnacentral:misc_RNA from 1 species
AAUAGAAACGUGUUACAUUCUUAACAACUGGCUGAUCAUCUGUUUCUUUAUGUUUUACUCCGGCUAGAAAGAAGCAUUGGGCUAAAAAUUAAAGAAGAAAGAAACUGCAAAGGUUUCUGCUCUUAUUUUUAUUCAUUGCGGAAACAUGUGCGGGUCAUGAAUGACUGCAAAACGUUUUGUGAAUGCACGAGGGAAGAUGUUCACCGAGAGUCAUUAAGGAUACGUUCCACCGAAACUUUUAUGAAUUCCCGAGAAAAUAGAGAUCCGAAUUAUCGCGGUCCAUACAAUGAGGGUCCAGUAUGGGGAUGAUGAGGAUGCGCAGGAUAGUGAACCGAAUUCAUGUGUGCAGUUGGUUGUCCAUGGUGUCCAGGAUAAGUCCAAGGUCCUGCUGCGGUCGCACCGUAAAAUUGAUGAUGUUCUUGGCUCGAUAUGCUUGGAAUUUGCACGGUCUCUUUGCAGGAUUCUGUAUGCUUGAAACUGCGACAGAGUCACACUCAUCCGAUUCACAGUCACGAAAACCUUUCGCAAAUGGAUUGCUAGCAAUUUUGAGUUGCGUGAUACGAUGAUUUUGAUAAGCUGUGACCGCAGUGAAUCGCGUUUCCGGAAAGGUGAAAGUUUUGAAAUUCUCCGUGCGAGGAUCGGGAGCGGAACCCGGCGGCGAUGGUGCAACCACUACGUGGCAUCGUGGCUGAUAUCUAUGCAUCGAGUUCAGGAUUAUCUGUAACGUAAAAUAAUAAAAUAAUUGUUAUUUAUAUUAGAUAUAUAAAGAUUUAG